rnacentral:lncRNA from 1 species
GCCAACCUUUUAUUUUAUUUUAUGUGCUGAAGUAAGAAACUUAUCUCUUAUCAUGCCUAAUUCUUUAAUAAUACUCAGAAAGUCGCAUUCGUUCGAAUUCUUAUUUAUGAAAUCUGUCGAUGCACAAAAUCAUAUAAAUAAUUACAUAUUAAGUGACGAGCAUGAAAAUAUGGUAAACUUGAUUGUUGGUUCCAAUCUACUUGGAUAACCCUAUAGCUCAAAGCUACAACUGUUGAACUUGAAGCCCUAGAAUUGGGUGCAGAUGCUCAUACACUUGGCGCCUUCACAAACCCUAAUGCAUUUACCAGUGUUGACGUCGGAUAUCGGGGGUGUGCAUUGAAGAGCUUUCUUGCAAGGAAUGGUCCAGCAACCCACAAUCACGAUGACGGCAAAGCUUAUAAACAGACCCAUACAAAUUACAUAGUAAAAAUCACGUAGAUGAUUUGUAACAUCAGGCAUGACCCUCCGCCUUAGUUCCGUUUCAUGCUUAUUUCCUACAGUCAUAGGAUGUUGAAUUUUCGUCGUAUCCCAGUACGAUAAUAUUUUAGCCUUCAGCCGUUGAUCUGAAGGUGAAGUUUCUAGCUUGCUCAGAUCACUUUCCAAUUCAAUGAGCUCACUCUUGGUUUGGUGUCUCUGCAUAACGCUUUUUUUAUAUUUGCUUCCAACUACAAGCAAUGAAACCAAGUUGAGUAUGGCUGCUAUCAGAGAGAGGCUGAAAAGGAACCAGCGAUCUGAGCAUCUGAGCGCUGUGGUCGCAGUGACGAUAGGCCCCAAAAUAAGUCCUUGAAAGACGAAGUAGUAGUUUGCAAGGUUGAAGGCGCUCGUUUGAAGUUGAUUUACUUGAUCAUCCUGUUUCUCAAUUGUAGUUUGCAGCUCCUGUUUUCUUUUAUCCAUGUUUUCUUUCUUUUCUUUGUCACCAUUUGGCGGACAUGGAUCGGUGUCCAUUAAUCAGCAGCACGCUCAAAGUAAGAGAGCUAGAGAGAUAAGAAGACAGAGUCUUAGAGUAAAGUCCCCUUCUCGUCCAUGCAACUUAUAUACACAGAGAUAGUUCUGUUGGCUUUUUGAAUAAGCCAAUACACUCACUCUCACUCUUACACUCAGCUCCAAUUGGGUAAUACCAUAGUGGAAACGAUACCCUAGGCACCAUGUGUGUGAGUAACUCCUUUCCCAUUUCUACUUUCGAUGAAUAAAAUAAAAAAAUAAAAAGUCAAGAUUUUUUGGUGCAGGACGUCUGUCCGUUGUUAAAGGACGGAUUUUGCAUUGAUAAUGUUGUCGACCACGCCGGAUCAACCCAAAAAAUAGAGGAAAAAAGAUAGCGGAGGAAAGUUGCUCGCCCGCAAACUUACUGCAUCUCUGUUCCUAAGUGUGAACAUAUCUUUGGCAAAAUUUACAUUGUGGAAAGGGAUUUACACUUGAACCUUAUUUUGCGUUACAGAUCACCAACUCACAAUAUUUGUAAUUCAAUUAUUUCAAGCGUGUGUAGUGGAGGGACCCCUCUAUUUGUCUGAAAUGAUAUUUCGCAAUUAUUUCAAGCGUACCACCAAGGCCCACCCCUGAGAGAAAUUGUACAAUAAUACUGUGCCAAGUGGUAGUACGGACCAAUAAAAUAACAACACAUUUGCUUCUCAAGGAGAACCAAAGAGUUGAAAGAAAAAAAUUGCAAAAAUUUCGGCAGUGAGGAGGAAAGGUGCUAUUUGGUGCAGUAUUUACCAUUCAAUUUUCCAAGAAGGUUUCAAGGGUGACUUUAACGCCAGUAUCAAACGGAUUAGCUCCUUUCUUCUUUUAGUUGCAGCUGUCCAGUUGUCAGCAUUUCAUUCGUAUGUACUACUACCUGGUAAAUGCCAUGUGGUAGUACAAUAUCAUUGUAUAAUUUCUCCUUUAUCAGAACCUUGACGAUGAAGAGCUCUUACUCAAACGUUAAUAACGAAGUUUAUAAUGUAUUUUAGGAGCUGAAACCAUUGUUGAAACCCUAGUAGUCAGUGCAGAUGCUUAUGUUUUUGUCCCAAACGUUUAUAAGGGAUAGAAUCUAGCUAGGGUAGCUAAGACGUUCUACGUACAUAAACUUUUUUUUUUCCCAAACUAUUUGGAUAAUUAUUCCCAUGAGCUGAAACCAUUGUUGAAACCCUAGUAGUCAGUGCAGAUGCUUAUGCACUUGGCACCUUCACAAAACCUAAUGCAGUUAUCAAUAUUGGAUACUGGGUGCUUACAUUUAUCAGCUUCCCUGCAAAGAAUGGUCCAGCAACCCACAAUCACGAUGAUGGCAAAGGUUACAAACAGACCCAUGCAAAUUACAAAGUAGAAUUUACGUUUACAAUCUGCACAAGGAUCAACAAGGAAGAUCCUUCUAUGCCGUUGUUUCGGUUAUUGUCUGUGCUUGUAGGACACUCAGAACCAACCUGUUUCUUUCCGGAACUUUGAGGUUGAGUUUGAUCUGAUUGUUCCAAUUCAAACUUUUGGUUACGUCUUGUUUUCGUUCAAAAUAUUAAUAAUAUUGGGGGAUGGGAGGGGCUCCUCGAAGUGUAGGUUCUCUAUCCUUCGGAAUUGAGGGUGGAUGUUUCGUCUUUUGAUCUUCACUUAAAAUCUAGUCUGAUUAUUUUGAGCUUAUACUUUCUUUGGAAUAUAUUCAGAAAAGUAAUAUCCCUAGAUUUGAUUGUUUUGAACUUAAUUACUGUCAUCGAGUAUUUUUGCUUUUUUAAUGGAAUUUCCUUCUGGCAAAAAAGCUGAGCUAAUUGUUUGUCUUGGCAUUACUGGAGUUGUAGUCUAAGAUAAAGAGAGAAAACUCUUGCAUUUUUAUGUGACGAGAAUUUGGAUUAAGAGUCGAACGAUGUCAAGAAAUGCAAAAGAAAGGGCAUCGCGUUAAAAGAAACAAUAAACCCAGCACAUGCUAAGUGGCAAAACAAGGCCAAAACCCCAGCGUUUAUGAUGUUGAAAGGUUCCAAUCACGAUUGAUAAUGGGGAAGUAGCCCAAUGUCAUACAUCACUCAAAUCCACACUAGGUCCCUUGACUUUCCAAUGCUAAGUGGUGGCUCUGCAAGAAAGAACAUGAAAAGCAAUUCAGUACACCUACUAUCAGCUUUUUCUUUUCUUUUGAAUGUCUAGCUAUAUAUGUGUUUCAGUGCAUAUGCGUGUUACUUUUAUCCUUCUUUUGGCAUGCAUUUGUGAGUGGAUGUCCAACGUCAAGCUUGAAGCAUCAGAUAAACAACUAUGCUUCGAAUGAGAUAAAAACGGCAUGCUUGCAAUUUCAACGAAAAAACUAGGGAUGUUUUCCUUGAAAGAAAACUGAGGAUAGGCAGGGCAUCUCCUGCAAUCAGUGCCCACUUUCACGUCUCAUGACUUCGGCUCAAGCUCAAAAUUAUAAUUCAAUUCCAUUGUUUUUAUAUAAAGUAAAAGACCCAAUUGCCAUGUGGGCUGGUCAGGUCGUGUACAAGACUAGCGGCCCGGUUCAAUGUUUUCUUUCUCUUCCUUUUUCUUCUCUAAUUUUUAUUUUUUAGAAGCUAUAGUUUAAAUUAAUCUAAACUAAGAGCUCUAUUAAUUAUGUUUUUUGGAUUUUAUUAAAUUUUUUAUUCUUAUGAAGUUGUGCCGUACAUUCAAGGUAAGAGCAUCUACAAUGGUUGUGUGUAAAUUUGGAGGUGUAAAACCACUUUUACAUCUCCUUUACACCUCCGGGGGAUGUAAAUGUGAUUUUUGCUUAAAUGGAGAAGAUGCAAAUCCAAAUAUGUAUAUUUAAUUUUCUUGUGUUAAUUUUUUUUUCCGUUAACUUUUUAAAAUUAAUUUUGUGUGUGUUAGGUUUAUUUUAUUUUUCCAAAAAAAUGAACCCAAAAAAAUUUCAAUUCAAAGAAGAUAUGGUUUCAUAGAACUAGAACCGUUGGAUCGUACAGUACAUUUAAUCUGAACUAUUGGUAUCUUAUCACGUUUUUGCACACAAUUCAAGAUCCAUUAUUUUUUUGAUUUGCACACAAAUCAAGACCCAACAUGAUAGGAUUUGAUCUCAUCUUCAACCGUUGAUCGCCAUGUUACUUUGUUUGGAGAGUGUUCUUUUAGUUGCGCGUAGAGGAAGAGUAGCUCAACCUUUUUCAGCUGCUCUUCUCUCUCAGCUCUCUCCUUAUUUCUUGCGUGCAAGGUCCGUAAAGUGAGUGUAAAAAUGGAUGUAAAUCAGCAUCUUUUUAUUUACAUUUGGUGGCUAAAGUAAAUAUAUAAGCAUUUACAUCCUCCCAUUGCAUCAAUUUUCCGACAGCAAUAGAUGUAAAUUUAGCAUACAUUCACCUUUACACACUACCAAUAUAGAUGCUCUAAGGGUCGUUUUGAACAACAAACACCAAUUCCAAAUAAAUGGAUUUAUCAAGUAAACAUAAUAUUUUUCACAAUUUUGUGGAGUAUUUUUUUCUUUUUGCUCUGCUAUUUUACCAGCUCAACGUCCACCUCUUCUUUCUUCCAUUUGCAGUUGUUGCACCUGUGGCUCUAUUUAUUUUUGGAACUCUAUCUAUAUUUCUGAUUAAGUAAAUUUAGGUUUCAGCCACAAAAAAAAUUUCACUUUUGAAAAAAGCCAAAAUUUUUCCCAAAAAGACAAAAAAAACCUCUCAACUUUCAAACCAAAGACAUUCAAAUGUAAAUAAUUCCUUAAAAAAUCCAAAAAUAAUAAGGGUAUUUUUAUCCAUUUUAAUUUCUUUCAAAAAUAUUUUUCUCUCAUUUGGUCUUUUUCAAAAAUGUCCCUUCUGAUAAUAUGUAUAUAUAUGUGAUUAAAAAAUCAGGUGGAUUCUUGUAAUAAUUCAGUCGGCAAAUCUAGAGGAUGCAGGACCAUUACGUACAGUUAGCCCCACUCAAAAUCACGCACAGUCCCCCGUGAAGUGAAGGACCAACUUGACAAAGCUCCCAGGUCCCAGCACAGGCAGAUUGUCUCUUCUUUUGGUCCACAUAAAAACUCCAAAUUUAGGUAAAUUGUUAAGGAUAAUUCAUCUAAAACACAAUGCAAAAAUUCAAAAAGAAAAAUUUAUACACACAUGUAUAUACUAUCAUUGGCGAGAAUAUUCCUACUUAUUAGGGAAGUAUUUUCCAAUUGUUAGUCUCAUCGAUAGAUGUACCUAUUCCUUAGUGGGGUGAGCUUAAUUAGUUGACUUGGCUUGUUAGCAUAGAUGAUGUAAAUAACAAAAAAGAUAGGGUAUAGAAAAAUAAAUAUGAUGAUAUUGAAGUAAGGAAAGAAAAAAAAAAACAAAAAGAUUUGCAAGCAGAAAAGGCCAACUUUUUUAAUUUUAUGUGCCGAAGACCUAAAUUCAUCCGAAUCUUAUAUUUUAUUUGAGCUCCGAUUAUAAUAACAUUCUUAUUUGUGAAAUCUGUACGUGCACAAAAGCAUAUAAUAAACUAGUAUAGAUGAAAUGAUGAGCAACAAAAUAUGGUAAACUUUAUUGUGGUUCCAAUCUACUUGGAUAACCGUAGCUCAAAGCUAUAUAGAACUGUUGAACAUUAAGCCUUAGAACUGGGCGCAGAUGCUCAUACACUUGGCACCUUCACAAACCCUAAUACAUUUAUCACUGUUGGCGUUCGAUAUCUGGGGUGUGCAUUGAAGAGUUUUCUUGCAAGGAAUAGUCCAGCAACCCACAAUCACGAUGACGGCAAAGAUUAUAAAUAUACCCAUGCAAAGUACGAAGUAGAACUCACGUAGAUGAUUUGUAACAACAGGAAUGACCCUCCUUUUAUGCCUUACUUCCGAUUCAUCCUUAAUAUCCAGGGUCGUAGGAUGAUGAGAAGCAACCUGUGGAUGUUGAAUAUUUGUCGUAUCCCAGUAGGUUAAUAUUUUAGUUUUGAGCCCUUGAUCUGAAGGUGAAGUUUCUAGCUUGCUCAGAUCACUUUCCAAUUCAAUGAGCUCACUCUUGGUUUGGUGUCUCUGCAUGACGCUUCUUUUAUAAUUGCUUCCAAUUACAAGCAAUGAAACCAAGUUGAGUAUAGCUGCUAUCAGAGAGAGGCUGAAAAGGAACCAGCGAUCUGAGCAUCUGAGGGCUGAGGUGGCAGUGACGAUAGCCCCCAAAAUAAUACCUUGAAAGACGAAGUAGUAGUUUGCAAGGUUGAAGGCGCUCGUUUGAAGUUGAUGUACUUUAUCAUCCUGCUUCUCAAUGGUAGUUAGCAACUCCUGUUUUCUUUUCUCCAUGUUUUCUCUCUUUUCUUUGUCACCAUUUGGUGGGUAUUGAUGGUUAGCCAUACUCAAUCUAUA